GAAAUUAAAAGCAUGACAUGGAAAGGAAUACAAGAACUCCUGAUAAGACCGGGAUCAUGAAGAGCCUCUAACAGAUGUAUGCCACCGGUGAAGAGGCUGCAGAAUCCAGAUAACAGAAGCCAGCGAUGAACACCGACCGUGGAUGACAGAUGAAAUAGACAGAUCACUAAUGAAGAUAUUGAAUAAUAUUUAGCUAGUAACAGCUACCCACAGGACCUCACUAGGAACUGAAUGACGAUUCCUCAUUUACUUUUUGUGAUCUAUCAGUUAACCAGUUUUUAAUCCAUCUGUGUCUGCUAGACUUGGACUUGCUUCCCUCUUGAGUUCAACAGAACCCAGAUUCCUUGACCUUCAGGACACAC